AUUGAACGCUGGCGGCAGGCCUAACACAUGCAAGUCGAACGAGUGGCGGACGGGUGAGUAAUGUCUGGGAAACUGCCCGAUGGAGGGGGAUAACUACUGGAAACGGUAGCUAAUACCGCAUACCAUCGGAUGUGCCCAGAUGUGAUUAGCUCGUAGGUGGUGUAACGGCUCACCAAGGCGACGAUCCCUAGCGUGUCUGAGAGGAGGAUCAUCCACACGGGAACUGAGACACGGUCCAGACUCCUACGGGAGUCAGCAGUGGGGAAUAUUGCACAAUGGGCGCAAGCCUGAUGCAGCCAUGCCGCGUGUAUGAAGAAGGCCUUCGGGUUGUAAAGUACUUUCAGAGAGGAGGCGUUACUCGCAGAAGAAGCACCGGCUAACUCCGUGCCAGCAGCCGCGGUAAUUC
rnacentral:rRNA from 1 species